ACGGGAGGCAGCAGUGGGGAAUAUUGCACAAUGGGGGAAACCCUGAUGCAGCGACGCCGCGUGAACGAUGAGGUAUUUCGGUAUGUAAAGUUCUAUCAGCAGGGAAGAUAAUGACGGUACCUGACUCAGAAGCACCGGCUAAAUACGUGCCAGCAGCCGCGGUAAUACGUAUGGUGCAAGCGUUAUCCGGAUUUACUGGGUGUAAAGGGUGCGUAGGUGGCAUGGCAAGUCUGAAGUGAAAUGCGGGGGCUCAACCCCUGAACUGCUUUGGAAACUGUCAAGCUUGAGUACAGGAGAGGAAAGCGGAAUUCCUAGUGUAGCGGUGAAAUGCGUAGAUAUUAGGAGGAACACCAGUGGCGAAGGCGGCUUUCUGGACUGUAACUGACACUGAGGCACGAAAGCGUGGGGAGCAAACAGGAUUAGAUACCCUGGUA
rnacentral:rRNA from 1 species